AUGACAGAGACGAAGACGGUUCUAGUGACGACGACCUGUUUGACGACAGUGAUCUUGAAUCUUUUUCAGUCGAUAAAAUAAAAGAGUUUUUAAUAAAAGCAAAGCAGCUACGAAAACAGAAAGAAAAGAAACGAAAAUCGCAUCAAGGUGUAUGACCACAUGACGUGUCAACAGGAAGUGACGUAUAGGAUAAAGAUAUCUUAAAACAGUUCAUAGAGGAUAUGAUUUGAAAUUGUCGAAAUAAAUACUUUUUUUUAUUUUAUUGUCGUUCGUGAUAUUUGACACUAAUAGUUACUGUAUAUAAACCAUGA